CCCAGAGUAAUUUGGGAGAAAGCAUCUGAAUGUACCUGUAAGGCUGUCUGUCCUUCCUUUUGGAGAGAAGGAAGAAAAAAGCAUCUGAGGUUGUCUGAGGAGGCCGUAGAAAUGGUGGCCAUGCUCAAUGGUGUUUCAUGCCAUAGAUGUAUUUUGCUGGACAUCUGCAGAGAGUUGUAGGCAGACCCAGUUCCUACAGCAGAGAACUUGGAUUCCUAACUUUAGUUUGCUGUGACAUAGGUCCCAUCUUGAUAAGACUCUUGCCCCUAUCAAAUCUUCUGCCUUAAUCGCUACACCCACAAAAUGGGGAAAAUAAAUGUUCACUGCCACCAAGUCAAGUGUCAAAAGCAUUUUAAACAUGAAAGCUGCCAGUCUUUCAGAACAGCCAUCACUGCCUUCCUAAGUGACCAAACUCACCAUUUGAUUUGGAGUAUGUGAAAACAGUGCACGUGCAAACACCCACACUCUUCAGACCACUGCAGUGUUUGCAGUACUCUGGGGCCCACAAACUAUUUGGGAAAGCAGGACGACACACUGCGCUGCACCGUAAACAUUAUGCACCCUACAAGAGCUUACACAGCUCAACUGUUAUUAAGGUUAUGAACAAACAGGAUGGUGAUGCAGCCAUACCGACUGGCUCCAUAGUUAAGAAACUUGCACAUUAGACAGGAAGAUGGUCAUCUUGGGGGAAACAUACACUGAGGGAGCCACACUUGGCUUUUCCUGAAUGGGAAGGGGUGGGCAAAGCAGAACUUUCGGUGAAGAAGCUGCUACCUGUUCCACAACUGAUGUUCCUCAUGGAAAGAUAAGGACCAUACCAAAAGGCUUCAAAGCAGGAUGUGAAGCACAAACAUGCAUGACUGGGGGAAAGUAGCAGGGAUGGAAAGAAUUCAGGGCAGAAAAGAUUUUUCACCACAAAUUAAGGAAAAAAAUUAAUAAAACCUCAAAACUACCUUCUCUGGCAAUAAAGAUGUUAAAAGUCAAUCAAGAAUGAAAAACAUGUGCAUGAAUGUGGAGUUUGGAGGGGAGCUGAAAAUGCCUUAUCUUUGUUCAGUGCUUCUUCCUCCCAGACAUUUGAUCACAACAGCUGCGCUCAUGCGAAAAAAUUCUUAAAACAUACCCAAUAUAUAUACAGAUAUAACUAUGUAUAUAUGUAUAUAUAUGUUUAUAUAUAAAUUUCAUUUAAAUAAAAAAGAAAGCUCGAAUCCCAAGCCAAUAUGUGUAUCAAAUCCUUGACCAGCCAGGUCUGUAGGGCAUAAUCAAAUUCAAUGUGAAAUAGUAUAUAAAUGCGGUGCCUUGACUGGGCAAAUUAAAUAAUCGCUACUCAAAAGAGUCUUCUGUUUGGACUCUCCUACUGGUAGGCAAUAGUGGGACUGUAUUCCCCCCCAAAUUUAUUUUAAUUAACAUUAUGAUGGAUGCAAAGCUUAGCCCAAGGUUGCUAUGACCUCAGCAGGAGUUAAGGGUUAAG